rnacentral:lncRNA from 1 species
AUACAAAUUAAAUAUGUUUAUUUCAAUAACAUAUAACACACAAAUAGAACUUAAACUCUUACAAUCAAACUAUUAAAAACGGAAACACACCACACCACACACCAAGUUUAUAGAAGAACAUUUAUUUUUUGCUACUGUACUCAUCUUUCCUUUGCUCUUUUGUUUCAAAGUCAGUGUGACACUUCAAAUACUCAAAAUUUCCACCAUGUGUAGCGGACAUAGUAUCUUUUUCAGCUUUCUGGUCUGCAAAUAUGUCGUUGUUGUCACUUUGGGUGUCGUCGAAGUCUUUGUUGCUGCUGUUGGUGUUGUUGUCGCUUGUUACUGCUGGAGCCAUUAAACCGAACAAAUUUUCUACAACAAAUCAAAUAAAAUGAUAUUAGCUAUGUAAUUUGGGUAUGGAGUAUGGACAUCAACCCUGUUACUUGUUACUUUGUUAUAUAGUUCAAUGUGAACAAAUAAGCAUGAAUGAGAAGUUGCAGCAUACAGUUUGAAUGAUCAAAG